rnacentral:rRNA from 1 species
UACGUAGGUGGCAAGCGUUGUUCGGAAUUAUUGGGCGUAAAGGGCGCGUAGGCGGUUUGUUAAGUCGGCUGUGAAAGCCCGGGGCUCAACCCCGGAGGGUCAGCCGAUACUGGCAGACUAGAGUACGGAAGAGGUAGCUGGAAUUCCCGGUGUAGCGGUGAAAUGCGUAGAGAUCGGGCGGAACACCAGCGGCGAAGGCGGCGACCUGGCCCUGACCUGACGCUGAGGCGCGAGAGCGUGGGGAGCGAACGGG